rnacentral:ncRNA from 1 species
AGUAAAAGGUAAACCUGCCGAAAGGCAGGGGCGCAAAGUCUCAGAUCCGGGAAGCUUCUCAGGAUGGCUGGACUGCC